CAGCAGUCUCAGCUGUAAAAAUAGAGUCCCCAGGGAAUACUGAUAGCCUUUUUCCAAUAAAGCGAAAUCUAUUUGCAAUAAUAGGUAUAUGCAAAGACCUCCUGAAAUUACAGGAGCAAACUCCUUCCGCAUCUCGACCUAAUUAAGAUCCGUUACUCAACAGUGAUCAGUCAGAUUUUACUGUAAGAAGGAAGAAAACAAGGAUCCUGCUAGAACAACAUGGAAACAGGCUGAUCUUAGGACCUACAACAAAGAGAUUUCUCACUGGCUUCCUGGUGGUUCAUUCAAUAGGGAAUUCCUGCAGCAAGUUGGAGGGAGGGAGGAGAAGCAGCACUGAUUCCAUGAACAGAGAUUCAUGCCACUGUGUAGUCUGCAACAAAACAUUGAAGAUGGUUUCCAAUAUCCAGAUGGACAGGCUGACCAUGAGUGCAAAUCUUCUUGUCCUUAGGAAAAAAAACUUCAAAGGGUAGACAACAGCCAAAUACCGAUCAACGGCAAUGCAGGAAAGACACACACAGAGAUCCAAUAUUGGCUGGAAUGCUGACUAUAAUCACAAAGAUGUAAACAAUGGGAAACAAAUAGUGAUCCAGGUCAUGCUGUUCUUCAAUACAUGUGCUGUUCAUUUUUUCCUUUUUAAGGGUGGAUGUAGAUCAAUUUUU
rnacentral:lncRNA from 1 species